rnacentral:rRNA from 1 species
UAGAGUUUGAUCCUGGCUCAGAAUCAACGCUGGCGGCAUGCCUAACACAUGCAAGUCGAGCGAGAAAGUGUAGCAAUACAUGAGUAAAGCGGCGCACGGGUGAGUAACACGUGGAUAACCUGCCUCAGAGUGGGGAAUAACACCGGGAAACCGGUGCUAAUACCGCAUAUUCUGACGGAGCCUGCGGGCUUUGUCAGGAAAGGAGCAAUUCGCUCCUGAGAGGGGUCCGCGGCUGAUUAGCUAGUUGGUGAGGUAAUGGCUCACCAAGGCUUCGAUCAGUAGCCGGUCUGAGAGGACGGUCGGCCACACUGGAACUGAGACACGGUCCAGACUCCUACGGGAGGCAGCAG